AUUGUUUGGAAUGCUGGGUUGAGUCCCGGCUGGACCGCGCCCCUCUCGGAAGUGUAGCCAGGAGUAGGGGUGUAGGAUGUGCAGCUGUGACCCGUCCCUGUGGACUGAAGAUUUGUAGUUUUUUGACAGGGGAAAGGAGGAGUGUUUCCUUGUUCUGCUUUUCCAGAAUCCUGCCCUUUCCAAAAGGAAGACGGUAUGAUUAAGUUCCAGGAAAGGGUGACAUUCAAGGACAUAGCUGUUAUCUUCACCAAGGAAGAGCUGGCAGUAUUGGAUAAAGCCCAGAUAAACCUGUACCAAGACGUGAUGCUGGAAAACUUCAGGAACUUCAUCUCAGUGGAGUCUUGCUCUGUCACCAGGCUGGAAUGCAGUGGCAUGAUCUUGGUUCACUGCAACUUCUGCUUCCUGGGUUCAAGUGAUUCUCCUGCCUCAGCCUCCUGAGUAGCUGGCAUUACAGGAGCCUGCCACCGUGCCCAGCUAAUUUUUGUAUUUUUAGUAGAGAGGAGGUCUCAUCAUGUUGGUCAAGAUGGUCUCCUGAUCUCAUGAUCCACCCACCUCAGCCUCCCAAAGUGUUGGGAUUACAGGUAUGAGCCACCAUACCCAGCCCAUUUUUGUUUAUUCUCAAACCACUAUCUCACAUCUUUAAGAAUGAUACUUUUGGUACAAGGCAAGUAACAGUGAAUAUGCUAAGUGUAUGUUUAACUUUACUAUUUCUAAAAAUGACUAUACCACUUCAUACUUCCAUUAGCAGUCAAUGCAAGAUCACUUGUUCUACAUGCUAACCAAUACUUGGGAUUUUUAGUCAUUGGGAUUAUUUGUAGUGUUAUCUCACUGUGGUUUAAUUAGCAUUUCCCUGAUAAGUAAUGAUGUGGUUAUCAGUCAUUUUAUCAUGUGCUGAUUGGUCAUUUUAUAUCUUCUUUGGAAAAGAACUUUUGAAAGUUUUGCUUCCUUACUGUUGAGUUGUAAGAUUUCUUAAUAUAGCCUAGAUACAAAUCCUUUCUCAGAUAAAUACAUUAUUAAUAUUUUUUCCU
rnacentral:lncRNA from 1 species